rnacentral:rRNA from 1 species
UGGGGAAUAUUGCACAAUGGGCGCAAGCCUGAUGCAGCGACGCCGCGUGAGUGAAGAAGUAUCUCGGUAUGUAAAGCUCUAUCAGCAGGGAAGAAAAUGACGGUACCUGACUAAGAAGCCCCGGCUAACUACGUGCCAGCAGCCGCGGUAAUACGUAGGGGGCAAGCGUUAUCCGGAUUUACUGGGUGUAAAGGGAGCGUAGACGGCGACGCAAGUCUGGAGUGAAAGCCCGGGGCCCAACCCCGGGCACUGCUUUGGAAAUCUGUGCUGCUGGAGUGCAGGAGAGGUAAGUGGAAUUCCUAGUGUAGCGGUGAAAUGCGUAGAUAUUAGGAGGAACACCAGUGGCGAAGGCGGCUUACUGGACUGUAACUGACGUUGAGGCUCGAAAGCGUGGGGAGCAAACAGGAUUAGAUACCC